rnacentral:rRNA from 1 species
CCUACGGGUGGCAGCAGUGAGGAAUAUUGGUCAAUGGACGAGAGUCUGAACCAGCCAAGCAGCGUGAAGGAUGACUGCCCUAUGGGUUGUAAACUUCUUUUAUAAAGGAAUAAAACGAGGCACGUGUGCCUUUUUGCAUGUACUUUAUGAAUAAUGAUCGGCUAACUCCGUGCCAGCAGCCGCGGUAAUACGGAGGAUCCGAGCGUUAUCCGGAUUUAUUGGGUUUAAAGGGAGCGUAGAUGGGUUGUUAAGUCAGUUGCGAAAGUUUGCGGCUCAACCGUAAAAUUGCAAUUGAUACUGGCAGUCUUGAGUACAGUUGAGGUAAGCGGAAUUCGUGGUGUAGCGGUGAAAUGCUUAGAUAUCACGAAGAACCCCGAUUGCGAAGGCAGCUUACUAAACUGUGACUGACAUUGAUGCUCGAAAGUGUGGGUAUCAAACAGGAUUAGAUACCCCAGUAGUC